GUGCGAAAUGGGUUAUACUUGUUCCCUACAUUGAUCUCCAACCUUAACUUUGUCAACUGUGUAAUUUUUUACAGUUGAUUUUCUUGGUUGGUACAUUC